AUAGUUUAAGUCCAUUAUUCUGUAAGUGGUCUGCACUGUUAAUCCUUCCUGCAAAGUUCUGAGAAAAGGUGACAUCUUUAUUAUUAGUUUUCUGAAAUGUAUGGGUUAAAGACUCCACUUUUUGUGUGUUGGUAUUUUAAUUAAAAUUAAGUUUUGUUGAUUCAAUUGCCCUUGGGGCCAGUCUUUAAUUCAGGCACUGUCUUAAGAUGUGCAUAUCUUCAGAGUUGCUAAAGUCUAGUUUGCCUAUCUCAGGGAAAAUAGUUUCUGAGCCACUUUUACAUACAUAAGAGAACUUUAAACAAUUUUGACAAUCACCACUGUAACAACUAAUUAUAGAGUCAAUAACAUAUCUCAGUGCCCUUUUAAUCAACUCUAUGGUCCCUUGAUUUGUUCUUAAGCAAGUCAUCAAUGCAGAAUAGCAGCGCAUUGCUAUAUAUGCGCUGAGCAAAGUGUUUUCGCAUUUUGUCUCUAGUGUUUUUGAUUUUGCUGGAAACACUUGACCAGAAAAUGGUGCUUUUUUUCUAUUUGUUUUUUCAGAGCUUUGGUAAAGUGUCGUAUGUUCCGAAGACUUUCAACACUGUCAUAUGCAGAGUGGGCUCGGCUAUCACCAUCAGUAGCUAGUUAAGGUGCCAACUGUGACCUCUCCAGAAAUAUCCUCAAGGAUCUGCUGCACAUAGAUUGGCUGUGCAGACUCCACUGUGCUCUGGACAGUAGACAUCUUCCCCUCUACUUCUGAGCAGGUACCUUUACCAUACAGCAUGGUUAGCAAGUGACUACUGAGACAGGAGCCAGGGACAGGUGUUUUUAUAGUAUUGUCUCUCCCAGGUGCAAUGUGGGCUUAGUGACAUAUACAGCAACCACAUUUUCAACUUGACAGGGCUCAGUCACCAAGAGAUCAUUCUCAGUCAUAUUGGGCAGCGCAGUUGGCAGUGUAUGAAGGUUUUAAUUUUUGGUGUCUGAAGGACCAGGCACAGUUGUGGUGCAGUCGUGAGACCUCUGGCGUGAGACCUCUGGCGGAGGGAGCUACUGACUGUGAGUGGUGCAGUGGUUUGUUUACAAACAGAGGGGUGCACAUGUUCAAGUAAUGCCGGUAAGAAAGUUUUCUUGAUGACAGUAUAUUUUUGUGCCAUUUGGAGUUAUGUCAGUGUGUUUGCUGUCAAUGGGGAUGUGAAAUGUUUCACCUAUUUAUUUUGUUCAUGCAGUUUUACAGGCAUUUCUUAGUAUGGCCAUCAGUGGGAAAUUAUAUGGUGGUUUCUGCCCUGGGGCCGGUUUCACAAAGCAGUAGUUAGUUAGCGAUCGAUAGUUAGCCUCACGCUAGUUAU
rnacentral:lncRNA from 1 species